CGGGGUUGGUAUCCCCAUGCAAGGAGGUUGGUGAGGCCUCGGGGGACUCCCAGUUCAGCAAAUCGGUUAGCCUUCCUCUACCUCAGUCACUUUCCCGUGAGGCACUCCGUGUUUGUGUACACGGUUAUUCCGUGUGUCGGUCAGUUCAUCGGGCGCAUCUAGAGUCAUUGAAAACAGUAAUAGGAAGUCAAACAAACUCGCUUGAUGCAAAAAUUCAGGAGGACAUUCGGUUUUUAAGGAAAUAGUGCUGAGGAAGGACCAGGCUGGAGCUCUUUGGAACCUCAGACUGGGAGGGUCUCGCUCUGUUGCCGAGGCUGGAGUACAGUGUUGUGACCACAGCUCACUACAGCCUCAACCUCCCAGGCACAAGAGAUCCUCCCACCUCAGCUUCCUGAGUAGCUGGAACUACAGGACAGACCAAUCUGAGGUCAGAGUUAGCAGCAGGAUACAUCCUGGUCCUCUCUUGCCCCUGAGAUCUCGCUGGGGCUGAUGGCACUGCCACUGCUAUGGUUGGGGCUACUUUCUCAUGUUUUGAUGGAAGUCAAGAAGACACCAGUGGAAGAGGGGCUGUGCACUACAAUCCCUUGUGCAUUUGAAUUUCCCAAAGAACCCCCAGGCAAUUCCGUGAUCAUGCGCUACUGGCUCAACAAAAACAUCAGCUCCCUGGUAGCAACAAAUAAACCCAAUGCUACCGUUGGUGAUAACACCAAGGACGAAUUUUACAUGACUGGGAAUCUUGAAGAAGGCUGUACGCUACUCAUCCACGAUAUACUCAAAGGGAACAGCAUAACAUAUUUAUUCUAUGCAGAUCUAGGAGAACAAAACAGUGCUUUCCUGGGGGAGAAUAUCAAACUCUUUGUGUCAGGUGAUGUUCAAUAUCAUCCAAUAAGUGGUUUGGAAAGAAGGAAAUCC
rnacentral:lncRNA from 1 species